AUGCGCCUGCGCUGGCAACCCGGUCGGCCAACUCCACGGACGGCGCGAUGGAGCUGCCCCCGGAAGAGUCGUUCGCCCUUCGCCGUCCUCGGCGCGUGCGCGCCGGACAGCCUGCUGAGGUCGCUCCCUGCGGGCGUCGCCGGCGUGGCGGGGUUCUCCCGGCGCCCGCUCUCGCUGCCGUCGCAGCUAGCGUCCCAGCGCGGCUUCGGAGGUAAGUUCGCCCUGUGCCUCCCCGUGUUCGCGAUCUUCGGCGAUUCGCCAGUCAACAUGUCGGCGCCAGGGCAAGCGCCGGGCUACGCCGACUACACGACCAUCAUACCAUACACCCCGCUCCUCACCAACCCGGCGAACCCCGCGCCCGCGGGAUAUUACAUCCCCGUCAAGGGCAUCUCCGUGUCGUGGCACGGGGCCAACACCGAGGCGAUCCUCCCCAGCGCCGCGCUCGAGCUCGACACCGCGGCCGGCACGGGCGGCGUCGUGCUCAGCACCGCCACGCCCUACAUGAUCAUGCGCCCCGACCUGUUCGACGCGUUUGCCAAGGCCUUCGACGACGUCAUUAUCAGGGGAAAGCGUCCGAUGACGACCGUGGAGCGCGUGCUGCCGGCGCCGAAGCCGUUCAAGCUGUGCUACAGCGGCGGGUUCCCGCUGCUGAAGCGCCCGGUGCUACCGGACAUGCCGUACAUCAACCUGGAGCUGGGCGCCGGUGCCACGGGGAACUGGACGCUGUUCAACAACAACUACAUGGUGCAGGUGGACGGGGCUUUGUGCCUGGCGAUCCUGCCGACGGGGGCCGGCGGCAUGCCGGUGGACGGUGAGCCGGCGGUGGUGAUAGGCGCGACGCAGCUGGAGAACAACCUGCUGGUGUUCGACCUGGAGAAGCAGGUGCUCGGGUUCAGCGAGCUGCUGGACUUCUCCUUGUCCAGUUGUAUAAGCUCCACGUUCUUCAGGAACUAG
rnacentral:rRNA from 1 species